rnacentral:rRNA from 1 species
CAUUGCGCCCCUCUGGUAUUCCGGGGGGGGCAUGCCUGUCCCGAGCGUUCAUUGCAACCCCUCAAGCACGGCUUGUGUUAUGGGGCGGACGUCCCCUUAGCCGGUGGACGGGCCCCAAAUGCAGUGACCGAGGCCGUGAUUCCGGCGCCCGAGCGAAUGGGAUUUCCACCAGCUCUAGUGGCCCGGCCGGUCCUCAGGUCCCGACCAAUUUCAUUUCAAGGUUGACCUCGGAUCAGGUAGGGAUACCCGCUGAACUUAAGCAUAUCAAUAAGCGGAGGAAAAGAAACCAACUGGGAUUGCCUCAGUAACGGCGAGUGAAGCGGCAAAAGCUCAAAUUUGAAAUCUGACUUCCAACGGGGGUCCGAGUUGUAAUUUGCAGAGGAUGCUUCGGGUGCGACCGCGGCGCAAGUCCCUUGGAACAGGGCGUCGCAGAGGGUGAGAAUCCCGUCUCGAGUCGCUGGUUCGCGCCCGUGUGAAGCUCCUUCGACGAGUCGAGUUGUUUGGGAAUGCAGCUCUAAGCGGGUGGUAAAUUUCAUCUAAAGCUAAAUAUUGGCCGGAGACCGAUAGCGCACAAGUAGAGUGAUCGAAAGGUUAAAAGCACCUUGAAAAGGGAGUUAAAUAGCACGUGAAAUUGUUGAAAGGGAAGCGCUUGCGACCAGACUCGGGGGCGGGGGUUCAGCGGCCAUCCGUGGCCGUGUACUCCCCCGUGUCCCGGGCCAGCAUCGGUUCGCGCGGCCGGUCAAAGGUCCCCGGAAUGUGUCGUCUCUCGGGACGUCUUAUAGCCGGGGGCGCAAUGCGGCCAGCGUGGACCGAGGAACGCGCUUCGGCUCGGAUGCUGGCGUAAUGGUCGUAAGCGACCCGUCUUGAAACACGG